AUUGAACGCUGGCGGCAUGCCUUACACAUGCAAGUCGAACGGUAACAGGUCUUCGGAUGCUGACGAGUGGCGAACGGGUGAGUAAUACAUCGGAACGUGCCUAGUAGUGGGGGAUAACUACUCGAAAGAGUGGCUAAUACCGCAUGAGAUCUACGGAUGAAAGCAGGGGAUCGCAAGACCUUGUGCUACUAGAGCGGCCGAUGGCAGAUUAGGUAGUUGGUGGGAUAAAGGCUUACCAAGCCGACGAUCUGUAGCUGGUCUGAGAGGACGAUCAGCCACACUGGGACCGAGACACGGCACAGACUCCUAAGGGAGGGAGCAGUGGGGAAUUUUGGACAAUGGGCGCAAGCCUGAUCCAGCAAUGCCGCGUGCAGGAUGAAGGCCUUCGGGUUGUAAACUGCUUUUGUACGGAACGAAAAGCCCUGGGUUAAUACCCUGGGGUCAUGACGGUACCGUAAGAAUAAGCACCGGCUAACUACGUGCCAGCCGCCGCCGUAAGAC
rnacentral:rRNA from 1 species